UACGUAGGGUGCAAGCGUUAAUCGGAAUUACUGGGCGUAAAGCGUGCGCAGGCGGUUCUGCAAGUCAGAUGUGAAAUCCCCGGGCUCAACCUGGGAACUGCAUUUGAAACUACGGGGCUAGAGUGUGUCAGAGGGGGGUGGAAUUCCACGUGUAGCAGUGAAAUGCGUAGAGAUGUGGAGGAACACCAAUGGCGAAGGCAGCCCCCUGGGAUGACACUGACGCUCAUGCACGAAAGCGUGGGGAGCAAACAGG
rnacentral:rRNA from 1 species